rnacentral:rRNA from 1 species
UACGGAGGGUGCAAGCGUUGUUCGGAAUCAUUGGGCGUAAAGCGCGUGUAGGCGGCUAGGCAAGUCGGUUGUGAAAGCCCGGGGCCCAACCCCGGAACUGCAUCUGAAACUGCCUGGCUAGAGUCCCGGAGAGGAAGGCAGAAUUCCCGGUGUAGGGGUGAAAUCCGUAGAUAUCGGGAGGAAUACCAGCGGCGAAGGCGGCCUUCUGGACGGUGACUGACGCUGAGACGCGAAAGCGUGGGGAGCAAACAGG